UACGGGGGGGGCAAGCGUUGUUCGGAAUUACUGGGCGUAAAGGGCUCGUAGGCGGCCAACUAAGUCGGAUGUGAAAUCCCCAGGCUUAACCUGGGAACUGCAUCCGAUACUGGAUGGCUUGAAUCCGGGAGAGGGAUGCAGAAUUCCAGGUGUAGCGGUGAAAUGCGUAGAUAUCUGGAGGAAUACCGGUGGCGAAGGCGGCAUCCUGGACCGGCAUUGACGCUGAUGAGCGAAAAGCUAGGGGGAGCAAACA
rnacentral:rRNA from 1 species